rnacentral:rRNA from 1 species
AUUGAACGCUGGCGGCAGGCCUAACACAUGCAAGUCGAACGGUAACAGGAAGAAGCUUGCUUCUUUGCUGACGAGUGGCGGACGGGUGAGUAAUGUCUGGGAAACUGCCUGAUGGAGGGGGAUAACUACUGGAAACGGUAGCUAAUACCGCAUAACGUCGCAAGACCAAAGAGGGGGACCUUCGGGCCUCUUGCCAUCGGAUGUGCCCAGAUUGGAUUAGCUAGUAGGUGGGGUAACGGCUCACCUAGGCGACGAUCCCUAGCUGGUCUGAGAGGAUGACCAGCCACACUGGAACUGAGACACGGUCCAGACUCCUACGGGAGGCAGCAGUGGGGAAUAUUGCACAAUGGGCGCAAGCCUGAUGCAGCCAUGCCGCGUGUAUGAAGAAGGCCUUCGGGUUGUAAAGUACUUUCAGCGGGGAGGAAGGGAGUAGAGUUAAUACCUUUGCUCAUUGACGUUACCCGAAGAAGAAGCACCGGCUAACUCCGUG